rnacentral:rRNA from 1 species
AACGAACGCUGGCGGCAGGCCUAACACAUGCAAGUCGAGCGAGACCUUCGGGUCUAGCGGCGGACGGGUGAGUAACGCGUGGGAACGUGCCCUUUGGUACGGAAUAGCCCCGGGAAACUGGGAGUAAUACCGUAUAAGCUCUUCGGAGGAAAGAUUUAUCGCCAAAGGAUCGGCCCGCGUUGGAUUAGGUAGUUGGUGGGGUAAUGGCCUACCAAGCCGACGAUCCAUAGCUGGUUUGAGAGGAUGAUCAGCCACACUGGGACUGAGACACGGCCCAGACUCCUACGGGAGGCAGCAGUGGGGAAUCUUAGACAAUGGGGGAAACCCUGAUCUAGCCAUGCCGCGUGAUCGAUGAAGGCCCUUAGGGUUGUAAAAGAUCUUUCAGGUGGGAAGAUAAUAGCGACCUGCGGGUUGUACUGAGGUACCGUAAGAAUAAGCACCGGCUAAACUCCGUGCCAGCAGCCG